rnacentral:rRNA from 1 species
GACGAACGCUGGCGGCGUGCCUAAUACAUGCAAGUAGGACGCAGUUGCGAACGGGUGAGUAACGCGUAGGUAACUACCUAUUAGAGGGGGAUAACUAUUGGAAACGAUAGCUAAUACCGCAUACUAGUAGAUGGACCUGCGUUGUAUUAGCUAGUCGGUAGGGGAAUGGCCUACCUAGGCAAAGAUCCAUAGCCGACCCGGAGGGGGGAUCGGCCACACUGGGACUGGGACCCGGCCCAGAAUCCUAAGGGGGGCAGCAGUAGGGAAUCUUCGGCAAUGGGGGGAAACCUGACCGAGCAACGCCGCGUGAGUGAAGAAGGGUUUCGGAUCGUAAAGCUCUGUUGUUAAGGAAGCGGUACUUAACCAGAAAGGGACGGCUAACUACGUGCCAGCAGCCGCGGUAAUUC